rnacentral:lncRNA from 1 species
ACAUAUCCGAAAGAAGUAGGUGGUCCUCAGAUCUUAUGUUACAACACGAAGUUGAUACUGAAGAUAGUUUGAGAACAGCACGUGAAGCGCUUGCAUACGAAAUACAUAUUUCGAAUAGGAUACAAUAUUCCAGUUCUUGAAAUCUUUAUUUUGAUUUAUUUAAUACAUUUUUUUCUAUCACUACCGGGAAAUUAUUAAUCACUGACAUUCAAGAGGGGUAAAGUUGAAAUCACCAAUUUUGCCUACGCCAUAAAUUAUUAAUUGACCGUUGUAUAAUUUUUGCUUCAAUGAUAACCAUAGUUCAAAUGUGACGUUACCAAACCGAACAUGACUUAUACACAAGUCUGGUCACGAGGAAAAUUAAAGAAGAGAAAAAUAAC